rnacentral:sRNA from 19 species
AAAAAAAAUGGGCGCAACGCCCAUCUUUUUCAACCGAGAUCGCACUCAGGGCAGAAAGAAAACUACGUGCCCAGCGACUUCAUGAUUUUAGCCAUUU